rnacentral:rRNA from 1 species
AUUGAACGCUGGCGGCAGGCCGAACACAUGCAAGUCGAGCGAGCGGCGGACGGGUGAGUAAUGUAUGGGGACUGCCCGAUAGAGGGGGAUAACGACUGGAAACGGUGGCUAAUACCGCAUACUAUCGGAUAACCCAUAUGGGAGUAGCUAGUAGGUGGGGUAAAGGCUCACCUAGGCGACGAUCUGUAGCUGGUCUGAGAGGAUGAUCAGCCACACUGGGACUGAGACACGGCCCAGAGUCCUACGGAGGCAGCAGUGGGGAAUAUUGCACAAUGGGCGAAAGCCUGAUGCAGCCAUGCCGCGUGUAUGAAGAAGGCCUUAGGGUUGUAAAGUACUUUCAGCGGGGAGGCGUUACCCGCAGAAGAAGCGCCGGCUAACUACGUGCCAGCCGCCGCGGUAAUUC